ACAAAUUCUAGCUCCCAUAUUCAACAAAAAAAACCUUAAUGAGUAUCCUUUUUUAUAUAGAAAACCGAAAAAAAAAUAGAGGAUCCUUGCCUGGGACCUUGGGACGUUCUUCAAUUAAAUAUGCAAAUUGUCCCGAUGAUGCUGCAGAAAUGUCAACAAGAAGCGGUUCUCGGGUGAUAUAUAUUUCCAAGUGGGACACUUGAAGUUUCGCUUAAUUAACUAAUUGCCCGUGCAGCGGAAAUUCGGGGGAAAAUUUAGGGAAAUCGAAGGAAUCCAGGGAAAUCAAGGACAUCAAGGAAAUCAAGAAGAAACUGUAAAUGAGUCUCCAGUUUUUAAAGGCAGCUGCUGGGUUAUAUUCUUCUUUUAAAAGUUUGUUAAAAAAUUCAAAUAAAUAUUGAAUAAUA